rnacentral:rRNA from 1 species
GAUGAACGCUGGCGGCGUGCCUAACACAUGCAAGUCGAACGGAGUUUAUAAUAUGAAGUUUUCGGAUGGCUUACUAUAAACUUAGUGGCGGACGGGGGAGUAACGCGUGGGUAACCUGCCUCAUACAGGGGGAUAACAGUUGGAAACGGCUGAUAAAACCGCAUAACAUUGCGAUGCCGUCUGGCGAUGCAAUUAAAUAUGUAUAGGUAUGAGAUGGGCCCGCGUCUGAUUAGCUAGUUGGUGAGGUAAUGGCUCACGAAGGCGACGAUCAGUAGCCGGCUUGAGAGAGUGACCGGCCACAUUGGGACUGAGACACGGCCCAAACUCCUACGGGAGGCAGCAGUGGGGAAUAUUGCACAAUGGGGGAAACCCUGAUGCAGCGACGCCGCGUGAGUGAAGAAGUAUUUCGGUAUGUAAAGCUCUAUCAGCAGGGAAGAAAUUGACGGUACCUGACUAAGAAGCCCCGGCUAACUACGUGCCAGCAGCCGCGGUAA